AUGGCCUGUUGAUAAUGAUUUCAGGUCUGACCUGCCCGCUGAGUAAUUAAAUGGCCGCGGUAUAUUGACCGUGCAAAGGUAGCAUAAUCACUAGUUUUUUAAUUGGAAGCUUGAAUGAAGGGUUUGAUGAAAAAUUUACUGUCUUGGGGUAUAUUAAUUAAAAUUUUAUUUCUAAGUGAGAAAGCUUAGAUUUUUGUAGAAGACGAGAAGACCCUAUAGAGUUUAAUAUAUAAAGGUGUUUUAGGUUUAGGUAUUUAUGGUAAAGCUUGGUUGUAUAUAUUUUGUUGGGGUGAUAGAAAAAUUGGAUUAACUUUUUCUUUAUUUUUAUAUUGUUAUUUAAGUAUAUGGUUCUUGUGUAAAGAUUAAAAGAUUAAAUUACCUUAGGGAUAACAGCGUAAUUUUUUUUAGAGUUCUUAUCGAAAAAAAAGAUUGCGACCUCGAUGUUGGAUUAAAAUUAAUUAGUGGUGGAGAAGCUAUUAAGUUAGGUCUGUUCGACCUUUAAAAUUUUACAUGAUCUGA
rnacentral:rRNA from 1 species